GGUUAAGUUAGAAAGGGCGCACGGUGGAUGCCUUGGCACUAGGAGCCGAAGAAGGACGGGACUAACACCGAUAUGCUUUGGGGAGCUGUACGUAAGCGUUGAUCCAGAGAUUUCCGAAUGGGGGAACCCACUAUCUUUAGUCGGAUAGUAUCCUUACGUGAAUACAUAGCGUGAGGAAGGCAGACCCAGGGAACUGAAACAUCUAAGUACCUGGAGGAAGAGAAAGAAAAAUCGAUUUCCUGAGUAGCGGCGAGCGAAACGGAAAGAGCCCAAACCAAGAAGCUUGCUUCUUGGGGUUGUAGGACACUCUAUACGGAGUUACAAAAGAAAGUUAUAAAUGAAGCGGUCUGGAAAGGCCCGCCAAAGACGGUAACAGCCCGGUAGUUGAAAUGGCUUUCCCUCCAGAGUGGAUCCUGAGUACGGCGGAACACGUGAAAUUCCGUCGGAAUCCGGGAGGACCAUCUCCCAAGGCUAAAUACUCCCUAGUGACCGAUAGUGAACCAGUACCGUGAGGGAAAGGUGAAAAGCACCCCGGAAGGGGAGUGAAACAGUUCCUGAAACCGUGUGCCUACAAGUAGUUAGAGCCCGUUAAUGGGUGAUAGCGUGCCUUUUGUAGAAUGAACCGGCGAGUUACGAUUUGUUGCAAGGUUAAGCGGAAAAAGCGGAGCCGUAGCGAAAGCGAGUCUGAAUAGGGCGCAUAAGUAACAGGUCGUAGACCCGAAACCAGGUGAUCUACCCAUGUCCAGGAUGAAGGUAAGGUAAUACUUACUGGAGGUCCGAACCCACGCACGUUGAAAAGUGCGGGGAUGAGGUGUGGGUAGCGGAGAAAUUCCAAUCGAACUUGGAGAUAGCUGGUUCUCUCCGAAAUAGCUUUAGGGCUAGCCUCGAGGUAAAGAGUCAUGGAGGUAGAGCACUGUUUGGACUAGGGGCCCUUCUCGGGUUACCGAAUUCAGAUAAACUCCGAAUGCCAUGUACUUAUACUCGGGAGUCAGACUGCGAGUGAUAAGAUCCGUAGUCGAAAGGGAAACAGCCCAGACCACCAGUUAAGGUCCCCAAAUAUAUGUUAAGUGGAAAAGGAUGUGGGGUUGCUUAGACAACCAGGAUGUUGGCUUAGAAGCAGCCACCAUUGAAAGAGUGCG
rnacentral:rRNA from 1 species